AACGCACAUUGCACUCCUCUGGAGUAUGCCUGUUUGAGAAUCUAUAGUAUUCAUUUCCCAGACCUUCUUUUUGGAGGGGUGGGGAGAUAUGGAGCUCCCGGUCCCUUGUGGGCGGGGUUCUCUGAAAUAGAUUGCUACUAGGGAGGCAGGGAUGCUUGACGUCUCUCCGAUUCUAUUAGAAAAGUAUGUGUCUGAAACCGUGGUUUCUCAUUAUACCGACUAUUCUAGAGGGGAGGCCUAGUCUCUGGCGAGCUAGCUAGUCCAGACCUUGAAGGCCUCUAGGCCUUGAACCAUGGUCUCAAAUCAGGUAGGAAGACCCGCUGAACUUAA
rnacentral:misc_RNA from 1 species